CUUUAUAUAUCUAAACUAAUUAAGUGCUGGAUUCUUACUUCAGUGAUGCGUCUAUCCGCUGUAAAGA
rnacentral:tRNA from 1 species